AUGAGGAAUUUUCCGCAAUGGGCGAAAGCCUGACGGAGCAAUGCCGCGUGAAGGAUGAAGGCCUAUGGGUUGUAAACUUCUUUUCUCAGAAAAGAAUUAUGACGGUAUCUGAGGAAUAAGCAUCGGCUAACUCUGUGCCAGCAGCCGCGGUAAGACAGAGGAUGCAAGCGUUAUCCGGAAUGAUUGGGCGUAAAGCGUCUGUAGGUUGUUUAAAAAGUAUUCUGUCAAAGAUUAGGGCUUAACCCUAGAUAGGCAGAAUAAACUUUUAAGCUAGAGGUUGGUAGAGGCAGAGGGAAUUCCCGGUGGAGCGGUGAAAUGCGUAGAUAGCGGGAGGAACACCAAAGGCGAAGGCACUCUGCUGGGCCAAUACUAACACUGAGAGACGAAAGCGAGGGGAGCAAAUGGGAUUAGAUACCCGAGUAGUCC
rnacentral:rRNA from 1 species